rnacentral:misc_RNA from 1 species
CAACCCUCAAGCGAGUCUUUUCUUGCUUGGUGUUGGGGCAUUACCCCUGGGGUAAGCCCUGAAAUCUAGUGGCGAGCUCGCCAGGACUCCGAGCGCAGUAGUGUAAACCUCGCUUUGGACCGUACUGGCGCGGCCUAGCCGUAAAACCCCCCAACUUCUGAAA